AGUGAACGCUGGCGGUAGGCCUAACACAUGCAAGUCGAACGGCAGCACAGUAAGAGCUUGCUCUUACGGGUGGCGAGUGGCGGACGGGUGAGGAAUACAUCGGAAUCUACUUUUUCGUGGGGGAUAACGUAGGGAAACUUACGCUAAUACCGCAUACGACCUACGGGUGAAAGCAGGGGAUCUUCGGACCUUGCGCGAUUGAAUGAGCCGAUGUCGGAUUAGCUAGUUGGCGGGGUAAAGGCCCACCAAGGCGACGAUCCGUAGCUGGUCUGAGAGGAUGAUCAGCCACACUGGAACUGAGACACGGUCCAGACUCCUACGGGAGGCAGCAGUGGGGAAUAUUGGACAAAGGGCGCAAGCCUGAUCCAGCCAUACCGCGUGAGUGAAGAAGGCCUUCGGGUUGUAAAGCCCUUUUGUUGGGAAAGAAAAGCAGCAGGUUAAUACCCCGCUGUCCUGACGGUACCCAAAGAAUAAGCACCGGCUAACUUCGUG
rnacentral:rRNA from 1 species